GGCAUUAUCUAAGAGAGGAGCACUCCGGCUGCCCAAGAAAGGGCCUGAACUGGGAGCUUGGCGGCCUCGGGGAGGGGCGGCUGCUCAGAGCCAGGCCUUUCCCUAGUGGGGAGGGCAUCUGCAAGGCACAAAUUAGAAACAGACUAUGAGCUUUUGCUUCACUAAAUGCAGAUGCACUUUAGAUAUCGAUACAUGCUUCAUUUUGCCUUCGGGUGCACUUAUAAAUCAUCCUUAAGUGACCUCUAUUUCUACCAAAGACAUCCACUUGGUCUUUAAGAAGCAUUCUUAGUGAUCCUCACAAAGGAAAAAAAAAAAAAGGAGAUAUCUUCUGUGACAGGAAGCCAAAGGCUGAUUUUCUUUUUUUUUUUUUUGAGACUCUUGGAGUGUGUGUGUGUGUGUGUGUGUGUGUGUGUGUGUGUGCGCGCGCGCGCGCGCGAUUCUCUGUUAUGUAAUCGCCAUCACGGGUGAUUAGGUCUUCUAGGUCUUUCCCUCCAGGGCUGAACUGGAUGGUUUGGUUGCUGUGUUUUUCUUAAGCCUCACACAGGGCAAACACACAUGAAAAACAUGUCCCAGAUUUAUGGCGCAAAACUGCUCUCCAAGCAAAUUGCCUUAGAAGACUGUCUCGGUUUUGGAGGAAGGAAAUAGAUGAAUUUGUUGCUAAUUAAGACUCCUUAUCUUACUACUCUGGCAUUUCCUUUUUUCUAGAACGAAUUUUUAAAAAUAAUUUUAUGUAGUUUAGAUGUUCCCUCCCUUCCCCCUUGCUGUAAUGGUACUUGAAAUAGCUUAAAUAACUAAUUGUAUAGACAACUGUACUUUUGUUCUACACACACACACACACACACACACACACACCAGUUAACGUGAAAGGCAGUAACUCAUACAACAUGGUACCUUUUCUGUUUGGCCAUACAGACUGUUUCCUUCUUUACACACACAGGGCUGAUCUCAUUUAAAUUCUCUUAGCAUCUUAAAUUGCAAAAAAUGGCAGCCAGCUGAAAACUGGCUACCUGGAGAAUUACAAGGGGAGAGAGCUGUUCUUUGGCCUCAUCUUAAUCUCUCUGUACCUCAAGCAGGGAGUCCAUCUCUGAUAAAAGUCUUUAGAGCUCCCCAGGAGGAAGCGAAGCAGACAUGUUUUUCAACAAUGUAACAAUUUCCCUAUGUGUACUUGAUCAUUUCGGGAGAACUUGUAGUAGAUUAUGACUACUUCCCUCCAGAUGGUCUGACGGAAAAACUCUCCCACCAGACUUGCACUUCUAAAAUCACUUCCCCAGGCCUGGCCCUCCCACCCCACCCCCAUUUCCCCUUUCGGAGGUGCAGGCAGCUGGGGAGGCCUGGAACACCAGACCUCCAAGAUGGCCCAGCAUGUGUUGAGU
rnacentral:lncRNA from 1 species